rnacentral:rRNA from 1 species
AUUGAACGCUGGCGGCAGGCCUAACACAUGCAAGUCGAGCGAGCGGCGGACGGGUGAGUAAUGUCUGGGAAACUGCCUGAUGGAGGGGGAUAACUACUGGAAACGGUAGCUAAUACCGCAUACCAUCAGAUGUGCCCAGAUGGGAUUAGCUAGUAGGUGGGGUAACGGCUCACCUAGGCGACGAUCCCUAGCUGGUCUGAGAGGGUGACCCGGCAACCUGGGAAUGAGAAAAGGUCCCGGGUCCUACGGGAGGCAGCCGGGGGGAAAUAUGGAAAAUGGGGGCCAGCCUUGUGCAGCCAGGCCGGGGAGGGUGAAAAGGCCUUCGGGUUGGAAAGGACUUUCAGCGGGGGAGAGUUACCCGCAGAAGAAGCACCGGCUAACUCCGUGCCAGCCGCCGCGGUAAUUC